rnacentral:rRNA from 1 species
UACGUAGGGACCAAGCGUUGUUCGGAUUUACUGGGCGUAAAGGGCGCGUAGGCGGCAAUUCAAGUCAUCUGUGAAAUCUCCGGGCUUAACUCGGAACGGUCAGAUGAUACUGCUUGCUAGAGUACAGAAGGGCAAUCGGAAUUCUUGGUGUAGCGGUGAAAUGCGUAGAUAUCAAGAGGAACACCUGAGGUGAAGACGGUUGCUGGCUGAUACUGACG